rnacentral:rRNA from 1 species
UACGUAGGCAGCAAGCGUUGUUCGGAGUUACUGGGCGUAAAGGGCGUGUAGGCGGUCUUCUAAGUUUGGUGUGAAAUCUCCCGGCUCAACUGGGAGGGUGCGCCGAAAACUGGGAGGCUAGAGUGCGGGAUGGGAGAGUGGAAUUCCUGGUGUAGCGGUGAAAUGCGUAGAUAUCAGGAGGAACACCUGUGGUGUAGACGGCUCUCUGGACCGCAACUGACGCUGAGACACGAAAGCGUGGGUAGCAAACAGG